rnacentral:rRNA from 1 species
GGGUUUCUGGUCUCGUUGGUGACCAGCGGAGGGAUCAUUACCGAGUUUACAACUCCCAAACCCCUGUGAACAUACCACUUGUUGCCUCGGCGGAUCAGCCCGCUCCCGGUAAAACGGGACGGCCCGCCAGAGGACCCCUAAACUCUGUUUCUAUAUGUAACUUCUGAGUAAAACCAUAAAUAAAUCAAAACUUUCAACAACGGAUCUCUUGGUUCUGGCAUCGAUGAAGAACGCAGCAAAAUGCGAUAAGUAAUGUGAAUUGCAGAAUUCAGUGAAUCAUCGAAUCUUUGAACGCACAUUGCGCCCGCCAGUAUUCUGGCGGGCAUGCCUGUUCGAGCGUCAUUUCAACCCUCAAGCACAGCUUGGUGUUGGGACUCGCGUUAAUUCGCGUUCCUCAAAUUGAUUGGCGGUCACGUCGAGCUUCCAUAGCGUAGUAGUAAAACCCUCGUUACUGGUAAUCGUCGCGGCCACGCCGUUAAACCCCAACUUCUGAAUGUUGACCUCGGAUCAGGUAGGAAUACCCGCUGAACUUAAGCAUAGGAAUAAGCGGAGGAA